rnacentral:rRNA from 1 species
GAUGAACGCUGGCGGCGUGCCUAAUACAUGCAAGUCGAUCGAACCACUUCGGUGGUGAGCGGCGAACGGGUGAGUAACACGUAGGUGAUCUGCCCAUCAGACGGGGACAACGAUUGGAAACGAUCGCUAAUACCGGAUAGGACGAAAGUUUAAAGGUGCUUCUGGCACCGCUGAUGGAUGAGCCUGCGGCGCAUUAGCUAGUUGGUAGGGUAAAGGCCUACCAAGGCGACGAUGCGUAGCCGACCUGAGAGGGUGAACGGCCACACUGGGACUGAGACACGGCCCAGACUCCUACGGGAGGCAGCAGUAAGGAAUCUUCGGCAAUGGGCGAAAGCCUGACCGAGCAACGCCGCGUGAAUGAUGAAGGCCUUCGGGUUGUAAAAUUCUGUUAUAAGGGAAGAACGACUUUAGUAGGAAAUGGCUAGAGUGUGACGGUACCUUAUGAGAAAGCCACGGCUAACUACGUGCCAGCCGCCGCGGUAA